rnacentral:rRNA from 1 species
UUACCAUGCAGUCGACGGUGAGAGGAGCUUGCUCCUUGGAUCAGUGGCGAACGGGUGAGUAACACGUGAGCAAUCUGCCCUUGACUCUGGGAUAACUGCGGGAACUGUAGCUAAUACCGGAUAUUACCUUGGAAGGCAUCUUCUGGGGUGGAAAGAAUUUUGGUCAAGGAUGAGCUCGCGGCCUAUCAGCUAGUUGGUGAGGUAAUGGCUCACCAAGGCGACGACGGGUAGCCGGCCUGAGAGGGUGACCGGCCACACUGGGAUUGAGACACGCCCAGACUCCUACGGGAGGCAGCAGUGGGAAAUUUGACAAUGGGCGCACCCUGAAGACACAAACGCGGUGGGGGGACGGCGGCCUCGGGUGAAACCCUUAAUAGGAGAACGACUGGUUU